CGUGCACGUCGUCGAGAAAUAUUCUUAGUUUUUCGAUACGAGUCCAAUAAUGAAAGUUUUUAUUUUUGGACGACGAGUGAAUAGUAAAUCGGGAUUUCUCGAUAAACGUGUAAAUCUCGUUUAUCAGAAUUUCGAGAACGAGCUUGUAUUUUCUAUAUUUAUAUAGAAUUACGAGUGUAAUAAAAGUGAGUAGGAGUUGAGAGGGCGAGUAACGAAGAGUAUGGGUAGUUAGUCGUUAAAACGAGACGAGACGAAACGAGAUAUUUAACGACUAACGGGUUAAUAUCCUAAAUAUCUAACCUACCCUACCCCUAACCACCCCCCCAACCGCCCAAACUCACUCACUCACACAUAUUACACGUUUGUUUCAGCCAAACACUUUUAACUCACACACACAACACCUAAAACACACACUAAACUCACGCAUAACACCAUUGUUGAGGAGUUGGAGCUUUUGACCUCCGAUUUGAGCACCGAGACGAGCGCCGAUCAUCUUUUCGAUCACGUAUCUAAGUAGGUUGAGCUGAUGUGAUGAUGGUGCUGCAAUGAGCGGAGUCUCCAGGGUUGUUAAUAAAUAGUUAACCUGUCUAGAAUAUGUCUUCAUACAUAUGUCUAGCUACUUUCCGCUGCAAGAUGUUGUUGAUGUUAUAGUAUGUUAUGUCAUACUUUGAGUCUUAAGAGAAUGGUUUCAUAUGAUGUAAAACUUGAUUAAUGAUAUUAAUUAAGUUUUAUGCUGUCUUUCA